CGGUGGCGAAAGCGGCUCUCUGGUCUGUAACUGACGCUGAGGCUCGAAAGCGUGGGGAGCGAACAGGAUUAGAUACCCUGGUAGUCCACGCCGUAAACGAUGAGUGCUAGGUGUUAGGCCCUUUCCGGGGCUUAGUGCCGCAGCUAACGCAUUAAGCACUCCGCCUGGGGAGUACGACCGCAAGGUUGAAACUCAAAGGAAUUGACGGGGGCCCGCACAAGCGGUGGAGCAUGUGGUUUAAUUCGAAGCAACGCGAAGAACCUUACCAGGUCUUGACAUCCCGAUGCCCGCUCUAGAGAUAGAGUUUUACUUCGGUACAUCGGUGACAGGUGGUGCAUGGUUGUCGUCAGCUCGUGUCGUGAGAUGUUGGGUUAAGUCCCGCAACGAGCGCAACCCUUAUUGUUAGUUGCCAUCAUUUAGUUGGGCACUCUAGCGAGACUGCCGGUAAUAAACCGGAGGAAGGUGGGGAUGACGUCAAAUCAUCAUGCCCCUUAUGACCUGGGCUACACACGUGCUACAAUGGCUGGUACAACGAGUCGCGAGUCGGUGACGGCAAGCUAAUCUCUUAAAGCCAGUCUCAGUUCGGAUUGUAGGCUGCAACUCGCCUACAUGAAGUCGGAAUCGCUAGUAAUCGCGGAUCAGCACGCCGCGGUGAAUACGUUCCCGGGCCUUGUACACACCGCCCGUCACACCACGAGAGUUUGUAACACCCGAAGUCGGUGAGGUAACCGUAAGGAGCCAGCCGCCUAAGGUGGGAUAGAUGAUUGGGGUGAAGUCGUAACAAGGUAACC
rnacentral:rRNA from 1 species